UGCCCAGCAACUCCUAUCCCUACCUCCACGCGGUACCGGCCGGAAACUAUGAGCAACCUUAGGGUUUAGGGAAGAUCGGGUAACCAACCCCGGUGGGAACUUUGUUCGUAGGCUGACAGGGAAGG
rfam:Aedes albopictus isolate Foshan contig86913, whole genome shotgun sequence.